CCUCGGAUCAGGUAGGGAUACCCGCUGAACUUAAGCAUAUCAAUAAGCGGAGGAAAAGAAACCAACAGGGAUUGCCCUAGUAACGGCGAGUGAAGCGGCAUCAGCUCAAAUUUGAAAUCUGGCCUUGGCCCGAGUUGUAAUUUGUAGAGGAUAGUUCGGUGAUACCUUGACCCAAGUCUCCUGGAACGGAGUGCCUUGGAGGGUGAGAGCCCCGUAUACGGUCAGACGGUAGAGCCAUGUGAACUUCCUUCGAAGAGUCGAGUUGUUUGGGAAUGCAGCUCAAAAUUGGUGGUAAAUUCCAUCUAAAGCUAAAUAUUGGCCAGAGACCGAUAGCGCACAAGUAGAGUGAUCGAAAGAUGAAAAGCACUUUGGAAAGAGAGUGAAACAGUACGUGAAAUUGUUGAAAGGGAAGCGCUUGCAAUCAGACUUGCAUGCAGAAGUUCCGCCGGUCAUUGACCGGUUCAUUCUUUUGUAUUCAGGCCAGCAUCGAUUUCGUCGGUUGGAUAAAGGCCUUGGGAAUGUGACUCCUCUCGGGGAGUGUUAUAGCCCGUUGCACAAUACAGCCUGACGGGAUCGAGGACCGCGUUCGCUUGGAUGCUGGCGUAAUGGUUGUUAGCGGCCCGUCUUGAAACACGGACCAAGGAGUGAAUCAUUCACGCGAGUGUUUGGGUGUCAAACCCACACGCGCAAUGAAAGUGAACGGAGGUGGGAGCAUUUGCGCACCAUCGACCGAUCCUGACGUUCUCUGAAGGAUUUGAGUAAGAGCGUGACUGAUUCGACCCGAAAGAUGGUGAACUAUGCGUGAAUAGGGUGAAGCCAGAGGAAACUCUGGUGGAGGCUCGCAGCGGUUCUGACGUGCAAAUCGAUCGUCAAAUUUGCGUAUAGGGGCGAAAGACUAAUCGAACCAUCUAGUAGCUGGUUCCUGCCGAAG
rnacentral:rRNA from 1 species